rnacentral:lncRNA from 1 species
CCUUCAGCUUUGGUCCCUCGGGGCGUCUGGGCAGCCUACGCUUUCCGGAUAAAAAUGGCAGAAUGAAAGAAUUAUGAGUGGAACUAGAGAAUAGGAAAGACAUGAACCAACGCCCAAAAUGAGAAAGAAGGACAUAUAAAGAAAAAGACAAAUACAAGUGAAAAAAAUAGACUAAUGGAUUAACGUCCCUGUCGUGUGACAUUUUCUGACUGGAAUCAGCCAUUUUACCAAGAAAGUUGGGUUUCUUUUACUGGCAAAUAGUACUUCAAGAGCACAGUCUUAUGUAAGAAGUACAGUCUAUAUAAAGACUGUCCAGGACAAAAACUGGCCACUCCAUUCAGCAUUGACAGCAGUAUUUAAAGCUGGUGCAUGGUGAGGUGAAGUUUCUCAAGGGCAAAGACAAUGCCUUCAUGCAUGUUCAGUGUCUGCCCCCGUGGGCUUUGAAAUGAUCGCUGACAAUGGGGGAUCUGCAGUGACUUCUCUGCCUCUGCCAAAGCCCAGGGGUGCUGCUCCCUAAUUCUAAGGAUUCUAAUGAGACUCAGAGCAGGUGUAACACAGGGCAUGGAGCUUCCUGAGCAAGAGGCUGGCUAACAAACUGUGGACGUGGUACUUAGACACAUUAAGAGACAUUACAGGGACACCUGCAAGUAUGUCUCCCUGGGGAGAAGCCAAGUGCAGAUGCUAUGGCCACAGAUGAUAUGGUUUGGCUCUGUGUCCCCACUCAAAUCUCAUCUCAAGUUGUAAUCCCUGGAUGUCGAGGGAGGGACCUGGUGGGAGGUGAUUGGAUUGGUUCGCAUGAUAGUGAGGGAGUUCUCACGAGAUCUGGUUGUUUGAUAAGUGUCUGGCAUUUCUCCUGUGCUGUCUCUCCUGCCACCUUGUGAAGAAGGUGCCUGCUUCUCCUUCGCCUUCCGCCAUGAUUGUAAGUUUCCUGAGGCCUCCCUAGCAAUGCAGAACUGUGAGUCAAUUAAACUUCCUUUCUUUAUAAAUUACCCAGUCUCGAAUGGUAUCUUUAUACCAAUGUAAGAACAGACUAAUACAGACAGGGACCACAAAGCAAGAAUUUAGGGCCUGAAGAGUCUUCAGCAUUGAAAAUCUUCACUCAGAAUCCCUGGUCCCUGCAUUGAGAGCACUGGGUAGAUCACUGAACUCCCCUGACAACACUGCAAAGUGCUGGGUACCUACGAUGCCACACCCUCUCCUCUGACCUCACAGUGUUAAAGUAAGGGGGCCCAUAGUACACGAUGUUACUGUCAGCAUGCUAUGUGUCGUGACUCAGCAACAGCACAUUCACCAAAGGAGAAACCCCUCCGUCUCUCUAUCUAGGCAGCCAGCCUUUUGACUUGUAUUCGGGGAUCUGGAGACUAUCAUUCCCUUAGGAAUUAGGUUCACUAGAGGAGCAUUCUGGUCACUAUGGGACAUUUUCCUCUGAAUUUGAAAGUAAACAGCCCCUGAAAGCAACAGGAAGACAUAAUCAGAGAACUCAGCAUUAAAAACCAAUAAUGAAUAGUAUCAAUGUAAUGCUUCCAUUAGAAACCUCUACUUUUACCAAAAUGAUUUAAAUGGGGUUGCUCAGAACUGAGUCCUCUCCAUCUCUGACAGCCCAUGCUGGGUUGUGAAGGUGUGUGCUUAUUGCUGAGGACUGGAAAGGGGGCAUUUCUUGGAGCCUUGGAGCCCUGGGAGCGAGCCAGCCACCUCUCUCCAGAUGACAGGCCUACCGGACACCACUCUCCUCCCCGAGCUGUAUGUCAAAAGGCCAUAAAGCUUGCAAAUGCAUGCAGACCGACUCGCCCCUUGAGUAUCAGUGGCUCUUGGAAAAUACAGAGAAUAACUGGAACAUCAACUAAAGUCCCCCAUAAUCCCAACACCAGAGACAGCCUGUGUUAAGAGUUUUUGGGUUUCCUUCUGUACUAUUCUUGAUGUAUCUGGCAAAGGGACCUCAAAAGCAGGGAGUGUGCAGGGGAGGAAGCCUGGCUCCACCACCCCCACACCAAAGGGAGCCUCAGGCUCCAUGAGGAAGAGAGCUUUUCCUUUAUAAAGCAAGGUCUUGGCCAGGUGCGGUGGCUCACGCCUAUAAUCCCAACACUUUGGGAGGCUGAGGCAGGCAGAUCACUUGAGCUCAGGAGCUGGAGAACAGCCUGGGUAACAUGGCGAACCCCUGUGUCUACAAAAAAUACAAAAAUUAGCUGGGCGUGGGUGGUGCAUGCCUCAAGUCCCAGCUACUUGGGAGGUGGAGAUUGCAGUGAGCUGAGCUCGCGCCACUGCAUUCCAGCACCCCAGCCUGGGUAAUAGAGUAAGACCCUGUCUCCAAAAAAAAAAAGGUUGUGGUUGUGGCUUCCUCUUGCUGACUCACUCGUGGCAGUGCCCCCCAAGGCUUGCCCUAUGGCUUCUCACAGAAGUGACAAGAGAAGCAUCCCGGAUGGGAACCCAGCCCUUCUCAGUCUAGCGUCCAUCUGCUGCUGCCUACAUAGAAAUUUACUAUGUUUACACCAGGAAAAUGAUGCUUUAAACCCACAGAAGAAAAGCAUGUAGGCCAGGAGCAGUGGCUCACACCUGAAUCCCAGCACUUUGGGAGGCUGUGUGGGAGGGUUGCUUGAACCCAGGAGUUUAAAAAGACCAUCUUGGGCAAAAUGGUGAAACCCAAUCUCUACAAAAAAAGUUAAAAAAAAAUAAAAAACCAAGUAAUGCAACCUGUAAAGGAUGCCAAGCUUCUAAUCCAAGGGGAUUCAGAACCCCUGUGAGGCACUGUAGCUCCCCACUUUACCUUCACAAUACACGACGUGUCUGAAAACACAAGGAGCCAGCCUUGAGCUGAGGUGGUCGGGGAAGGUCACCCACAAAACAGGUUAGACAGUGGGACCCCGAGCGAGAAGAAGCUUGCUUUUUUUUUUUUUUUUUUUUUGAGACAGAGCUUUUUGCUCUUGUCGCCCAGGCUGGAGUACAGUGGCGCGAUCUCGGCUCACAGCAACCUCCGCCUCCUGGGUUCAAAUGAUUCUCCUGCCUCAGCCUCCUGAGUAGCUGGGACUACAGGCAUGCGCCUCCAUGCCUGGCUAAUUUUUGUAUUUUUAGUAGAGACGGGGUUUCUCCACGUUGGUCAGGCUGGUCUCAAACUCCCAACCUCAGGUGAUCCACCCACCUCAGCCUCCCAAAGUGCUGGGAUUACAGGAGUGAGCCACCGCACCCGGCAGGAAAGAAGCAUUUUUAAGGAUUCUCUGUCGGGCCAUGUCUGACAGCUCAUCCAUGUAACAGUGAGGUCAGACAGUGCCAUCUUCUCAAGGGUGUCCACUUCUCUCAGUUUAAAAUCCAAAGGCCUUCCCUGGCAUCACAGCCCACAGAUCUGCCCUGCCCCCUACCCCGCCCCGACCCCUCCGUGGCUGUUCCCUCGGCCUGGCACUUUCUCCUGCAAACAUCCCAGUCUCUGUGGGCCUGUCCUGGCCCUGCUCCCACCCAUCUGCUUCUGCCUGCCAUGGUGCUCCCUGGCUUCCUAAGGCGUCCCUUAGACACUGUAUUAGGUUUGUUCGUGUUCUCCCAGUAGAGUGCAAGCUCUAGGAUGGUAGGAAUUUAGUCUUUUGCUCACUGCUGCAUCUCCAGUGCCUGGAACAUUGCCUGACACAUAACAGGUGUUCAAAAGAAACCUGUGGAGUGAAUGGUUCCCGAGCCAGUCACUGGGCCCCUAAGUGGGGCAGGAGGGGAGUGGCUCACAGCCUCUUGUGUUCUAUCAACAGAUGCACCAUUACAGGUACACAGCAAUAUGUCAGGAGUCACACCUGCACGUUACAAAUGGUAAAAAAGGGAAAUCGAGUGUCCUGCACUGACUGAGGCCCCUGCUAUGUGCAGUCCUAGGUACCCAUGGUCUCUCAGAGGUGGUUUCAAUAGUACUGUUUUCCUGCCAGUUUUGAGUACCCGUUGACAGAGGACAACACUGAAACCAUUAUCAUCUUAUGACUCUAAUUUUAGUUUUCUUUAGCUCCUAAUAACACUUGACCUCCAAUAAUACUAGAGUCUAGCAGGUUCAUGUUAAGGUAAUGGGCACAAAUGACAGAGAUGAAAUCACAGUGCAGAGGAAAUGGCACAAAGCCAUUUGUACCAUUUGGGAAUCCUGCUAAACCACUGGAAUCUAAGUUAAUUUUUUUUUGGAAGAAAAAGAGAGAUCCUCUGCCUCAGUCCUCCUGAGUAACUGAGACUACAGGCAUGCACCACCAUGCCCGGCUAAUUUUUUUUAAUUUUUGUAGAGAUGGGGUCUCCCUGUGUUGCCCAGGCUGGACUCAAACACCUGGCUUCAAGUGUUCCUCCCCCUCAGCCUCCCAAAGUGCUAGGAUUACAUGCGUGAGCCACUGUACCCAGCCUGAGUUAACUGUUUUAAGAUAAUAUUUUAAGAAGACACUGAGAUACUUUGCCCAACAGAAACCAGGAGGAAAAACAGAGAUUUAAAAGAUGGAAUUCAAGAACCCAUUUAAGUCAAGGAUUCUCUGCCUACCUAGAGCUGCCAGGAACUCGUGGCAUCCCGGGAGCCGCCACAGCUGGACGCUGAUGGAGACCUGAAUGGGAGCUGAUGCCAAGUCCUGCUCCUUCUCGCCAGCCUGGAGCUGAACCAGCACCUGGUGGAGCUGAGGAAGGGGGGACAGCGUGAGCACCCUGUGUCUCCUUCCCCUCCAGCCCACCUCAAGACUCGACCCAUUAUUCUUAUGUCACCUGUCACUGGCAUCGCUAAUGACCCUCUCAUGAGUGUAGCAUUU